UACGGGGGGAGCAAGCGUUGUUCGGAUUUACUGGGCGUAAAGGGCGCGUAGGCGGUUCGUACAGUCAGACGUGAAAUUCCUGGGCUCAACCUGGGGGCUGCGUUUGAUACGUGCGGGCUUGAGUGCGGAAGAGGGUCGUGGAAUUCCCAGUGUAGAGGUGAAAUUCGUAGAUAUUGGGAAGAACACCGGUGGCGAAGGCGGCGACCUGGUCCGAUACUGACGCUGAGGCGCGAAAGCGCGGGGAGCAAACAGG
rnacentral:rRNA from 1 species